rnacentral:lncRNA from 10 species
CAGGACUGUUCUGGGCGUGACACACAUUGCCAGAUUGGCCUCCUGAAAUGUUUACACUCCCACGGGCAGCUACCAAAUGUCCUUGCUCUAAGCCCUUGCCAAUGCUGCCAGUCCUAUACCCCUACACCCUCUUACUCUCUAGAUCCCAUCUUCCAAAAAACAACAACCACACACACUGCAAAUACCAUGAGAGCCCUCACUGGAGAUGUGACAGUGGUUGGCAGAGCUGUUUCUCAUGGCAGGGAGAGGACAAGUAAGUCUUUGCCCUGGUUAACAAUGAUUUGACAUUUGGCCCAGGUACAGGCUCAGCCAGAAGAGGAAUCUCCCAGGAGGGCCUCUCCCCAGGCCCAGGCAGGGAAGCACUGCCAUGGAUAGCAUCUGCCAGGACAAGCUGACCUGCACAAGAGACAGUCCACCGUGAAGAGCCGAGCAUGAGUUGGCAGCUGCUGUCAGCUCAAAUUGUCCAGUACGCAAACUUGGUCUUCAGAGGACUGACUUCCUCUUGGAUAGAAGAACCCUCUGAAACCAUGACUGUCAAGAACACACCCAAAUAAAGCAGCUGCCGAAACCACAAAAACAGAAAGACUAGAUUCAUUGUGAAGAUGUUUUCUAACAUUCAAAUGGGCUUUUGUUAGUUUUGUUUUUGAUUUUGGUGGAGGUCAUUUGAGUCUUGUUAUCAAGGUUACAAAGUGCUCUCUGGGAAAAGAUCCGGGCCCAUUUACCAGGCUGCCUUGCCUGGCUUUGCUUCUCGGGUAUGAAAUGAACAUUGAGAAUGCAGACACUGAA